rnacentral:ncRNA from 1 species
GAUGGUUUAAAGCGUGUUCCGAAAGUGGGAACCGGUUUUCGGAAAAAACACGCGCCAAAACAAAAACCUAAAGCACAUUGCAUGAAUACGAUUGAAUGCAACGUGCUUUAGGUCGCAGCCUGAACGACAAAGGGUGCCGAAACGGGUCAGGAGCGUCUUGAUCU